AUACAGGGCAUUUUAUGCUCUGUAAUUGGAAUGAUGGGAAUGUAAAACCCUUCCAGAGUAACAAUUGGAGGGCAAGUCUGGUGCCAGCAGCCGCGGUAAUUCCAGCUCCAAUAGUGUAUAUUAGAGUUGUUGCAGUUAAAAAGCUCGUAGUUGGAUUUCUGCUGUGGUCAUCCGGUACCGCCCGUAUGGGUGCGCACCUGGUUUGGCUGCGGCUUUCUUCCUGUAGCCGUCCGCGCUUAAUUGCGUGCGUUGUGUUACGGAACUUUUACUUUGAGAAAAAUAGAGUGUUUCAAGCAGGCUUGUCGCCCUGAAUACUUCAGCAUGGAAUAAUAGGAUAGGACCUUGGUUCUAUUUUGUUGGUUUCUAGGACCAAGGUAAUGAUUAAUAGGGACAGUUGGGGGCAUUCGUAUUUAACUGUCAGAGGUGAAAUUCUUAGAUUUGUUAAAGACGAACUACUGCGAAAGCAUUUGCCAAGGA
rnacentral:rRNA from 1 species